CAUGAGAUAGAAAUUUGGGGGAAAGAAGCAUAAAAUAGUGCGCUGGAAUCUGAGCCACUCAGCUCAGCCGAGCAGAGCCAAGUAGUUGCUAGAAGCAGGUUGCCAACCAGUCCAGCUGAGUCAAACAGUCGAGUCGAGCUGAACAACCCAGCUGAACUUGACAUCAGCAAUCCCUAACUAGACAGCAGUGACCCCCUUCUCUCGCACAUACCUACUCAUGCUCCAUUGAACAUCCCUGAGGUAAGUCC
rnacentral:lncRNA from 1 species